UGGGGAAUAUUGCACAAUGGGCGCAAGCCUGAUGCAGCAACGCCGCGUGAGGGACGACGGCCUUCGGGUUGUAAACCUCUUUUAGUAGGGAAGAAGCGAAAGUGACGGUACCUGCAGAAAAAGCACCGGCUAACUACGUGCCAGCAGCCGCGGUAAUACGUAGGGUGCGAGCGUUGUCCGGAAUUAUUGGGCGUAAAGAGCUCGUAGGCGGUCUGUCGCGUCUGCUGUGAAAACCCGAGGCUCAACCUCGGGCCUGCAGUGGGUACGGGCAGACUAGAGUGCGGUAGGGGAGAAUGGAAUUCCUGGUGUAGCGGUGGAAUGCGCAGAUAUCAGGAGGAACACCGAUGGCGAAGGCAGUUCUCUGGGCCGUAACUGACGCUGAGGAGCGAAAGCGUGGGGAGCGAACAGGAUUAGAUACCCUGGUAGUCCACGCCGUAAAACGUUGGGCGCUAGAUGUGGGGCACCAUUCCACGGUUUCCGUGUCGCAGCUAACGCAUUAAGCGCCCCGCCU
rnacentral:rRNA from 1 species